rnacentral:rRNA from 1 species
GACGAACGCUGGCGGCGUGCUUAACACAUGCAAGUCGAACGGAAAGGCCCCCUUGUGGGGUACUCGAGUGGCGAACGGGUGAGUAACACGUGAGUAACCUACCCUUGACUUUGGGAUAACUUCAGGAAACUGGGGCUAAUACCGGAUAGGAGCUCCUGCUGCAUGGUGGGGGUUGGAAAGUUUCGGCGGUUGGGGAUGGACUCGUGGCUUAUCAGCUUGUUGGUGGGGUAGUGGCUCACCAAGGCUUUGACGGGUAGCCGGCCUGAGAGGGUGACCGGCCACAUUGGGACUGAGAUACGGCCCAGACUCCUACGGGAGGCAGCAGUGGGGAAUAUUGCACAAUGGGCGGAAGCCUGAUGCAGCAACGCCGCGUGCGGGAUGACGGCCUUCGGGUUGUAAACCGCUUUCGCCUGUGACGAAGCGUGAGUGACGGUAAUGGGUAAAGAAGCACCGGCUAACUACGUG